GGGGCGUGGGGAUGGGGGGCACGGGAGGCAGGCUGCUGCCGAUGACUCCAAGGGGUGAGCUGCAGGAGAGCUGGCAGGGCGGGCCCCCAUGGCCCCCAGAGAGGCAGAGGUGGUCUGUUGAUCACGAUAUCCCUGCUCACCAUCAGAACUUCUCCACACUCUGGAUCUGAGACAGCAACUACUUUCAUAAUGUUGUGAUCACACAGAAAAAAAUAUAUUAACCAUGGAAACCGGUGUUUAUGUUCUGCUACACCUUUGCACUUCCCAACAUAUGAACCUGUUGAAGAAGACAUGAUAAUGAAUAUGCUGGAGGUACAUGAAGCCUAUUAUUAUUCUACCCAAAUAAUAAAGAUAAUUAAAUUUA